rnacentral:rRNA from 1 species
CCUACGGGACGCAGCAGUGGGGAAUAUUGCACAAUGGGCGCAAGCCUGAUGCAGCCAUGCCGCGUGUGUGAAGAAGGCCUUCGGGUCGUAAAGCACUUUCAGCGGGGAGGAAGGCGGUGAGGUUAAUAACCUCACCGAUUGACGUUACCCGCAGAAGAAGCACCGGCUAACUCCGUGCCAGCAGCCGCGGUAAUACGGAGGGUGCAAGCGUUAAUCGGAAUUACUGGGCGUAAAGCGCACGCAGGCGGUCUGUCAAGUCGGAUGUGAAUCCCCGGGCUCAACCUGGGAACUGCAUUCGAAACUGCCAGGCUAGAGUCUUGUAGAGGGGGGUAGAAUUCCAGGUGUAGCGGUGAAAUGCGUAGAGAUCUGGAGGAAUACCGGUGGCGAAGGCGGCCCCCUGGACGAAGACUGACGCUCAGGUGCGAAAGCGUGGGGAGCAAACAGGAUUAGAUACCCCCGUAGUC